rnacentral:rRNA from 1 species
GGAAACGUUAAGGGCGUAUGGUGGAUGCCUAGGCAAUGAAAGGCGAUGAAGGACGCGGCGUGGCGGCGAUACGCUUCGGGGAGGUGCCAAGCUACCUUCGAUCCGGAGAUGUCCGAAUGAGGAAACUCACUAGAAAGAAAUUUUUAGGAUCCCGUAGUAAUACGGGAAGCAAACCCAGGGAAGUGAAACAUCUCAGUACCUGGAGGAAAAGAUACCAAGUGUAUUUCGUUAGUAGCGGCGAGCGAACACGAAGAAGCCCAAACUCUGGAGAGUAGAUGUUGGACGUGAGGUAACUCAUUUCCAAUGUCUAUUAUCUAGGGGGUUGUAAGGCAAUUAUAUCCGCUUCGAGCGGAAAAAAGUUACAAAUUGCAGCGUUAGCCGAAGUCGCUGGGAAGCGACACCCUAGAAGGUGAAAGUCCUGUAGGCGAAAACAAUGCAACUUUUUAAUUGUCCUUGAGUAACUCGAGACACGAAUGGCUCGGGUGAAUCUGCCGGAACUAACCGGUAAGGCUACAUACUUUCAUUGACCGAUAGUGAACUAGUACCGUGAGGGAAAGGUGAAAAGAACCCCGAGAGGGGAGUGAAAUAGAUCUGAAACCAUAUGUCUACAAGGAGUCGAAGAGGGUGCAAAUCCUCGACGGCGUGCCUAUUGAAGAAUGAGCCUGCGAGUUAUUGUGUGCGGCAUAUGGCUAAGGACGAUGAGUCCGGAGCCGAAGGGAAACCGAGUGUGAAUAGCGCGUUAGUCGUACGCAAUAGACCCGAAGCAUUGUGAGCUACCCAUGGGCAGGGUGAAGGUGUGAGAAAUCACACUGGAGGCCCGAACCGGUUCGCCGUUCAAAACGUUCGGAUGACCUGUGGGUUGGAGUGAAAAGCUAAUCGAACAAUGUAAUAGCUGGUUCUCUCUGAAACAGCUUUUGGGCUGGCGUCGUAUGUAUUGAUAGUUGGGGGUAGAGCACUGGAAGGAUUCGACAGGGAGAAAUCUCGCGAAUCCUAUCAAACUCCGAAUACCGACUAUGUUAUACGGCAGUUAGACCGUGGGGGCUAAGCUCCACUGGUCAAAAGGAGAAGAGUCCUAGAUCUCAAGUUAAGGUCCCAAAAUCCAUGUUCAGUGCAUCACAAGGAGGUGGAAUUUCUUAGACAAUGAGGAGGUUGGCUUAGAAGCAGCCAUCCUUGAAAGAAAGCGUAACAGCUCACUCAUCGAGAGAUUCUGCGCCAAAGAUAAUCGGGGCUUAAACAUGGUACCGAAACUGAGGGCUUGGUUGAUGUUCGCAUCGAUCAAGCGGUAAGAGAGCGUUCUCUUCGCAAUGAAGCUAAAGGGGUGACCCAUAGUGGAGCGUAGAGAAGUGAGAAUGCAGGCACAAGUAACCGCAAUGCGGGUGAGAUCCCCGCACGCCGAAAGAUCAAGGUUUCCUUCGCAACGGUGAUCAGCGAAGGGUUAGUCGGGCCUAAGCCGAUGGCGAGAGCCGGAGGCGAUGGACAUAGGGUUAAUAUUCCCUAACCGGCGCAUGUGCGAUGGAGUGACGCAGGAUAUAAGUUGACGCGUCUUAUUGGAUUGACGUCAGUAAGCAAAGAUUGGUACGCCAGGAAAAUCCGGUGUGCUGCUUUAAUGCAACAAUCGAGCUCGCAGAGUACGCCCCGUUCGCGGGGUGGAUGUCAGCGAAGAGCCUGCCAAGAAAAACUUCUAAGCUUCAGCAUGCGUACGACCGUACCGCAAACCGACACAGGUGAUCUGCUCGAGAAGAGUAAGGCGAACGAGUGAGUGUUCUCCAAGGAACUCGGCAAACAAGCGGCCGUAAGUUAGCGAUAAGGCCUGCCCUGAGCAAUCAGGGCCGCAGCGAAAGAUUCCCUGGCGACUGUUUAUCAAAAACACAGCUCCCUGCGAACCCGUAAGGGGAUGUAUAGGGGGUGACACUUGACCAAUGCCAGAAGGUCAAAUAUUGGUGUUCAUAUUCAGCAAUGGGUAUGGGUGACUGAUAUAAGCCCUGGUGAAUGUCGGCGAUAACUAUAAUCGUCCUAAGGUAGCGAAAUUCCUUGUCUGGUAAGUUCAGACGCGCACGAAUAGUGUAACGACUGGGGAACUGUCUCGGAGAACAGCUCGGUGAAAAUACAAUACCGGUGAAGAUGCCGGUUACCUGCAGAUAGACGAAAAGACCCCAGAAGCUUUACUGUAGCUUGAUAUUGUGCAUAUGGUCUUACUGCGUAGCAUAGGUGGGAGAGGUUUGAUGGUCAUGGUUUUGGCUGUGAUCUACUCGUCAGUGAAAUACCACUCUGUGAGAUUGUAUGUACUAACCUGCAACGACAAAACCGUGUAGAGACAGUAUCUGGUAGGCAGUUUUAGUGGGGCGCUAUCCUCCUAAAAAGUAACGGAGGAGUUCAUUAAGGUACCCUAGGCGCGAAUGGAAACCGUGCCGAUAGCGUAAUGGCAUAAGGGUGCUUGACUGCAAGACGUAAAUGUCGAGCAGGUACGAAAGUAGGACAUAGUGAACCGACCAUCCGUAUUAGACGCGGUGGAAGAUUAUCUGACAAAAGCUACUCUGGGGAUAACAGGCUAGUUGUGCCUAAGCGUCCAUAGCGACGGCACAGUUCGGCACCUCGAUGUCGGCUCAUCACAUCCCGGGGGUGGAGAAGCUCCCAAGGGUUUGGCUGUUCGCCAAUUAAAGUGAUACGCGAGCUGGGUUCAGACCGUCGUGAGACAGGUUGGUCUCCUAUCUACUGCAGGCGUCGAUUAUUGAUAAGAUUUGCUCCUAGUACGAGAGGACCGGAGUGAACUGACCACUGGUGUACCAGUUGUCCUGCCAAGGGCACUGCUGGGUAGCUAUGUCGGGAUUGGAUAAGCGCUGAAAGCAUCUAAGCGCGAAGCCGGCUUAAAGAUAAGUAAUCAUUAUUAGAUCCGUGAGAGAUGAUCACGUUGAUAGGCUCUAUGUGUACGCACAGUAAUGUGUUGAGCAAAGGAGUACUAAUCGAUCGAGUUUCCUCCUCUU